UUCUUAUCCAGAGAGAUGGAGGGACUGGCCCGAUGAUAUCUCGGCAGCGGAACUGUAGGAAACUAGAGUUGCUGUGCCAAAUCCAGCAAGCAAAUGUGCUUGAGAGAUAAGAG
rnacentral:ncRNA from 2 species